GAAAUGCGAUACGUAGUGUGAAUUGCAGAAUUCCGUGAACCAUCGAAUCUUUGAACGCAUAUUGCGCUCGAGCCCUCGGGCAAGAGCAUGUCUGCCUCAGCGUCGGUUUACACCCUCACCCCUCCCACUUUUGUUGGGUGUGUUGGCUUCUAUGCCAGCCAUAGGGGUGGAUCUGGCUUCCCCAAUUCGCUGUAGUGGAUUGGGUUGGCUGAAGUAUAGAGGCUUAAGCAAGGACCCGAUAUGGGCUUCAACUGGAUAGGUAGCACCGGCUUUCGCCGACUACACGAAGUUGUUGCUUGUGGAUCUAGCUAGAGGCCAAGCAGGAACGUGCCUUUGGCAUGUCUAAACUUUCGACCUGAGCUCAGGCAAGGCUACCCGCUGAACUUAAGC
rnacentral:misc_RNA from 1 species